UGGGGAAUAUUGGACAAUGGGCGAAAGCCUGAUCCAGCCAUGCCGCGUGUGUGAAGAAGGUCUUCGGAUUGUAAAGCACUUUAAGUUGGGAGGAAGGGUUGUAGAUUAAUACUCUGCAAUUUUGACGUUACCGACAGAAUAAGCACCGGCUAACUCUGUGCCAGCAGCCGCGGUAAUACAGAGGGUGCAAGCGUUAAUCGGAAUUACUGGGCGUAAAGCGCGCGUAGGGGGUUAGUUAAGUUGGAUGUGAAAUCCCCGGGCUCAACCUGGGAACUGCAUUCAAAACUGACUGACUAGAGUAUGGUAGAGGGUGGUGGAAUUUCCUGUGUAGCGGUGAAAUGCGUAGAUAUAGGAAGGAACACCAGUGGCGAAGGCGACCACCUGGACUGAUACUGACACUGAGGUGCGAAAGCGUGGGGAGCAAACA
rnacentral:rRNA from 1 species